rnacentral:rRNA from 1 species
UACAUGGGGUGCAAACGUUGCUCGGAAUUAUUGGGCGUAAAGCGCACGUAGGCGGUCCGUUAAGUCAGAUGUGAAAGCCCCCGGCUCAACCGGGGAAGUGCAUCUGAAACUGGCGGGCUAGAGUACGAAAGAGGGUCGCGGAAUUCCCGGUGUAGAGGUGAAAUUCGUAGAUAUUCGCAAGAACACCAGUGGCGAAGGCGGCUCACUGGCCCGAUACUGACGCUGAGGCGCGAAAGCGUGGGGAGCAAACAGG